rnacentral:lncRNA from 1 species
GAUAAAGCCUCUUCUUACCCACAACCUGGUAUUCAUCUUUUUUUUUGUUGCGGCCUUGAGCCGGGUCGUAACAGAAUUGGGGGCUCGUCCGGGAUACGUCCGUCUUCGCUGGAGGGUCCGAGGGACCGCUUCAGCCUUCCGUUUCCGCUGGAGGGGUCCAAGGGGCCUGUCCAGCCAACAUUCGUCUUCGCUGGAGGGUUCGAGGGGCCUGUCCAGCAUUCGUCCGUCUUCGCUGGAGGGUCCGAGGGACCGCUUCAGCCUUCCGUUUCCGCUGGAGGGGUCCAAGGGGCCUGUCCAGCCAACAUUCGUCUUCGCUGGAGGGUCCGAGGGGCCUGUCCAGCCUUCAUUCGUCUCCGCUGGAGGGGUCCAAGGGGCCUGUCCAGCCAACAUUCGUCUUCGCUGGAGGGUCCGAGGGACCGCUUCAGCCUUCGUCCGUCUUCACUGGAGGGUCCGAGGGACCGCUUCAGCAUUCCGUCUUCGCUGGAGGGUCCGAGGGACCGCUUCAGGCAUUCCGUCUUCGCUGGAGGGUCCGAGGGCCCGCUUCAGGCAUUCCGUCUUCGCUGGAGGGUCCGAGGGCCCGCUUCAGGCAUUCCGUCUUCGCUGGAGGGUCCGAGGGACCGCUUCAGCCAUUCGUCUCCUCUGGAGGGUCCAAGGGGCCUGUCCAGCCUUCAUUCGUUUCAGCUGGAGGGUCCGGAGGACCGCUUCAGCCUUCCGUCUCCGCUGGAGGGUCCGAGGGACCACUUCAGCCUUCCGUCUCCGCUGGAGGGUCCAAGGGGCCUGUCCAGCCUUCAUUCGUCUCUGCUGGAGGGUCCGAGGGACUGCUUCAGCCUUCCGUCUCCGCUGGAGGGUCCAAGGGGCCUGUCCAGCCAUCAUUCGUCUUCGCUGGAGGGUCCGAGGGGCCUGACCAGCCUUCGUCCGUCUUCGCUGGAGGGUCCGGAGGACCGCUUCAGCAUUCAGUCUGCCUGCAGAAUAGCGGCCAGUGCCUUGUGCGCUGGUCCUCCAGGACUACAGCAUUCAUGGCUCUCUAGGUCAUGA